UACGAAGGGGGCUAGCGUUGCUCGGAAUUACUGGGCGUAAAGGGAGCGUAGGCGGAUAGUUUAGUCAGAGGUGAAAGCCCAGGGCUUAACCUUGGAACUGCCUUUGAUACUGGCUAUCUUGAGUACGGGAGAGGUGAGUGGAACUCCGAGUGUAGAGGUGAAAUUCGUAGAUAUUCGGAAGAACACCAGUGGCGAAGGCGACUCACUGGCCCGUUACUGACGCUGAGGCUCGAAAGCGUGGGGAGCAAACAGG
rnacentral:rRNA from 1 species